rnacentral:rRNA from 1 species
GACGAACGCUGGCGGCGUGCCUAAUACAUGCAAGUCGAACGCAGUGGGGCCGGGUGCGUAACACGUGGGUAACCUCACAUAAGAGGGGAUAACACUUGGAAACAGGUGCUAAACCGAUACUGAUGGAUGGACACGCGGUGCAUUAGAUAGUUGGGGGGGUCACGGCUCACCAGGGCCGCGAUGCAUAGCCGACCGGAGAGGGUGAUCGGCCACACUGGGACUGAGACACGGCCCAGACUCCUACGGGAGGCAGCAGUAGGGAAUCUUCGGCAAUGGACGAAAGCCUGACGCAGCAAUGCCGCGUGAGUGAAGAAGGUUUUCGGAUCGUAAAGCUCUUUUAUUAGAGAAGCGGUAUCUAACCAGAAAGCCACGGCUAACUACGUGCCAGCAGCCGCGGUAAUAC